AGUGGCGGACGGGUGAGUAACGCGUGAGAAUCUGCCUUGGGGUCGGGGACAACCACUGGAAACGGUGGCUAAUACCGGAUAAGCCGAUUGGUGAAAGAUUUAUUGCCCGAAGAGGAGCUCGCGUCUGAUUAGCUAGUUGGUGAGGUAAGAGCUCACCAAGGCAGCGAUCAGUAGCUGGUCUGAGAGGACGAUCAGCCACACUGGGACUGAGACACGGCCCAGACUCCUACGGGAGGCAGCAGUGGGGAAUUUUCCGCAAUGGGCGAAAGCCUGACGGAGCAAGACCGCGUGAGGGAGGAAGGCUCUUGGGUUGUAAACCUCUUUUCUCAGGGAAGAAGCUCUGACGGUACCUGAGGAAUCAGCCUCGGCUAACUCCGUGCCAGCAGCCGCGGUAAUACGGAGGAGGCAAGCGUUAUCCGGAAUUAUUGGGCGUAAAGCGUCCGCAGGUGGCGAUUCAAGUCUGCUGUCAAAGCACGGGGCUUAACUCCGUAAAGGCAGUGGAAACUGAAUAGCUAGAGUGCCGUAGGAGUAGAGGGAAUUCCCGGUGUAGCGGUGAAAUGCGUAGAGAUCGGGAAGAACAUCGGUGGCGAAAGCGCUCUACUGGACGGCAACUGACACUCAGGGGCGAAAGCUAGGGGAGCGAAUGGGAUUAGAUACCCC
rnacentral:rRNA from 1 species